UAACGACGAUAGUACGGAUCCGUA
rnacentral:siRNA from 1 species